UACAGACUGAUAAACGAUUUAAAGUAAAAAGU
rnacentral:piRNA from 1 species